CCUACGGGAGGCAGCAGUGGGGAAUUUUGGACAAUGGGCGCAAGCCUGAUCCAGCAAUGCCGCGUGAGUGAAGAAGGCCUUCGGGUUGUAAAGCUCUUUUGUCAGGGAAGAAACGGUGGGGGCUAAUAUCCUCCACUAAUGACGGUACCUGAAGAAUAAGCACCGGCUAACUACGUGCCAGCAGCCGCGGUAAUACGUAGGGUGCAAGCGUUAAUCGGAAUUACUGGGCGUAAAGCGUGCGCAGGCGGUUUUGUAAGUUUGUCGUGAAAUCCCCGGGCUCAACCUGGGAAUGGCGAUGAAGACUGCAAGGCUAGAAUCUGGCAGAGGGGGGUAGAAUUCCACGUGUAGCAGUGAAAUGCGUAGAGAUGUGGAGGAACACCGAUGGCGAAGGCAGCCCCCUGGGUCAAGAUUGACGCUCAUGCACGAAAGCGUGGGGAGCAAACAGGAUUAGAUACCCUGGUAGUCCACGCCCUAAACGAUGUCUACUAGUUGUCGGGUUUUAAUUAACUUGGUAACGCAGCUAACGCGUGAAGUAGACCGCCUGGGGAGUACGGUCGCAAGAUUAAAACUCAAAAUGAAAUUGACGG
rnacentral:rRNA from 1 species